AUUGAACGCUGGCGGCAUGCUUUACACAUGCAAGUCGAACGGCAGCGCGGGCUUCGGCCUGGCGGCGAGUGGCGAACGGGUGAGUAAUGCAUCGGAACGUGCCCAGUAGUGGGGGAUAGCCCGGCGAAAGCCGGAUUAAUACCGCAUACGACCUGAGGGUGAAAGCGGGGGACCGAAAGGCCUCGCGCUAUUGGAGCGGCCGAUGUCGGAUUAGCUAGUUGGUGGGGUAAAGGCUUACCAAGGCGACGAUCCGUAGCUGGUCUGAGAGGACGACCAGCCACACGGGGACUGAGACACGGCCCAGACUCCUACGGGAGGCAGCAGUGGGGAAUUUUGGACAAUGGGGGCAACCCUGAUCCAGCCAUGCCGCGUGAGGGAAGAAGGCCUUCGGGUUGUAAACCGCUUUUGUUCGGGAAGAAAUCCUAUGGGCUAAUACCCCGGGGGGAUGACGGUACCGGAAGAAUAAGCACCGGCUAACUACGUG
rnacentral:rRNA from 1 species